CAGCAGCCACGGGAAUACGUAGGGUGCGAGCGUUAAUCGGAAUUACUGGGCGUAAAGCGUGCGCAGGCGGUUCGUUAAGACAGAUGUGAAAUCCCCGGGCUUAACCUGGGAACUGCAUCUGUGACUGGCGAGCUAGAGUAUGGCAGAGGGGGGUAGAAUUCCACGUGUAGCAGUGAAAUGCGUAAAGAUGUGGAGGAAUACCGAUGGCGAAGGCAGCCCCCUGGGCCAAUACUGACGCUCAUGCACGAAAGCGUGGGGAGCAAACAGGAUUAGAUACCCGUGUAGUCCCUGUCUCUUAUAC
rnacentral:rRNA from 1 species